GUGGGGAAUUUUGGACAAUGGGCGAAAGCCUGAUCCAGCAAUGCCGCGUGCAGGAUGAAGGCCCUCGGGUUGUAAACUGCUUUUGUACGAAACGAAAAGCCUGGGGCUAAUAUCCCCGGGUCAUGACGGUACCGUAAGAAUAAGCACCGGCUAACUACGUGCCAGCAGCCGCGGUAAUACGUAGGGUGCAAGCGUUAAUCGGAAUUACUGGGCGUAAAGCGUGCGCAGGCGGUUUUGUAAGACAGUGGUGAAAUCCCCGGGCUCAACCUGGGAACUGCCAUUGUGACUGCAAGGCUAGAGUGCGGCAGAGGGGGAUGGAAUUCCGCGUGUAGCAGUGAAUUUCGUAGAUAUGCGGAGGAACACCGAUGGCGAAGGCAAUCCCCUGGGCCUGCACUGACGCUCAUGCACGAAAGCGUGGGGAGCAAACAGGAUUAGAAACCCGUGUAGUCC
rnacentral:rRNA from 1 species